AUUAAUUAAAAUAUUAUUAAUUGUACAUGUGCAGCCGUUGCAAGAAAAAAAAUAUUAACUAAAAGAGUCGAUCGAGAAUUAUCGGUAAGUAAAGGAUUAGAGAGAGAGAGAGAGUGGCAUAAUUAAUAAAGAUGAUGAAGCUGUAAAGUGAAAAGGACACAGUAACAUAUAAUAAUAAUUAGGUACUCCCUCCCUCACAU
rnacentral:lncRNA from 1 species